UGGGGAAUCUUCCGCAAUGGACGAAAGUCUGACGGAGCAACGCCGCGUGAGUGAAGAAGGUUUUCGGAUCGUAAAACUCUGUCUUUUGGGGCGAACGUGAGUAUGGUGAACAAUCAUAGUCAGUGACGGUACCAAAGGAGGAAGCCACGGCUAACUACGUGCCAGCAGCCGCGGUAAUACGUAGGUGGCAAGCGUUGUCCGGAAUUAUUGGGCGUAAAGAGCGCGUAGGCGGGAUAGUCAGUCUGUUGUAAAAGUGCGGGGCUCAACCCCGUGAUCGCAAUGGAAACAGCUAUUCUUGAGUGCAGGAGAGGAAAGUGGAAUUCCCAGUGUAGCGGUGAAAUGCGUAGAUAUUGGGAGGAACACCAGUGGCGAAGGCGACUUUCUGGACUGUGUCUGACGCUGGGGCGCGAAAGCCAGGGGAGCGAACGGGAUUAGAUACCCCGGUAGUCCUGGGCCGUAAAACGAUGGGUACUAGGUGUGGGAGGUAUCGACCCCUUCCGUGCCGGAGUUAACGCAAUAAGUACCCCGCCUGGGGAGUACGGUCGCAAGACUGAAACUCAAAGGAAUUGACGGGGUCAUAGCUG
rnacentral:rRNA from 1 species